GUAGCAGUGUGGCAGGACUGCUUAGUGUGUGCAGAGGGGCACGAGCAGUGGUGGGGAUGCCUGUGGUCCAAAUGUUUGCAUGCUGUGUGCUGUUUGGAUUGCUAAAAUAGACCGUAUCUCCAGUGAAGCAGAGCAGAGUGGUGCUUCAGGGACGUCCAGGAAACAAACCAGAGCGUGGGCAGUUGAACUGAGG